CAGGACCCAAGGCCGUCUGCAGGCUGAUCUCUGAGCUGUCGUAGCUAUAGGAGCUGAACACCAUGCUGCAGUUCUGCCAGUCGAAGGGGAAAAGGGAAAAGUUCAAGGGUAGAAGUGACGUGAAUAGAGAGAAAGGAAGGCGCUCGGCGGGUCAAGCUCUCGCUGGAAACUCCUCUUUCGGAGUCCCACUCGCCUGGGCCCGAGCCCCGCCUCCCAGACGUUGCACUGGUUCAAGCCCCGCCUCUAUCUCGGAAACUUCCGGCCAGCUCCGCGGCCGGCCUGUCCGUCUACCAAUUCGCCCACCCCGGCCCCACCCACCGCUUGCAGUUCACCCAACCCUGCGUCUCCGGCCGCUGUGGUCUCUCGACCCCGUCCCGGCACCAAGCUCCGCCCCAGCCUGCGACCCCGCCUUGAGGCCCGCCCCCAACCCGGGCCUGCCCGGCAGCCACGCCCACAGCCUGUCCAUUGGUCCGACUUCGACCCAAUCUCGGCUCACGGGCCGUCCGUCUCCCGGCCUGGCCACGCCCCCCCGCCGGUCGGCACGUCGGACCGCGGCCCCCGCGUGCGCGCUCACCAGGCUGAUGAGUUGCGCCAGGCUGAGGCCGAUGCGGACCGCGACACGGUCUCCCACCUCCCGCGCCGGCCGCACCGAGCUAUCGUAGCCGGAGAAAAGCUUCUCGAGGAGCCGGCCCUCUGCCUCCGAGCCGCGGGCGCCUGGAAGAGGAGGGCACUACGGGGCGCCUGGGGGGCUCAGUC